rnacentral:rRNA from 1 species
ACGCACGCUGGCGGCGUGCUUAACCCAUGCAAGUCGAACGGAAAGGCCCUGCUUUUGUGGGGUGCUCGAGUGGCGAACGGGUGAGUAACACGUGAGUAACCUGCCCUUGACUUUGGGAUAACUUCAGGAAACUGGGGCUAAUACCGGAUAGGAGCUCCUGCUGCAUGGUGGGGGUUGGAAAGUUUCGGCGGUUGGGGAUGGACUCGCGGCUUAUCAGCUUGUUGGUGGGGUAGUGGCUUACCAAGGCUUUGACGGGUAGCCGGCCUGAGAGGGUGACCGGCCACAUUGGGACUGAGAUACGGCCCAGACUCCUACGGGAGGCAGCAGUGGGGAAUAUUGCACAAUGGGCGGAAGCCUGAUGCAGCAACGCCGCGUGCGGGAUGACGGCCUUCGGGUUGUAAACCGCUUUCGCCUGUGACGAAGCGUGAGUAACGGUAAUGGGUAAAGAAGCACCGGCUAACUACGUG